rnacentral:rRNA from 1 species
UACGUAGGGGGCAAGCGUUGUUCGGAAUUACUGGGCGUAAAGGGCGCGUAGGCGGCACGGCAAGUCAGGAGUGAAAGGCCUGGGCUCAACCUGGGAAUUGCUUUUGAAACUGCCGAGCUAGAGUGCGGAAGGGGCAACUGGAAUUCCCAGUGUAGCGGUGAAAUGCGUAGAUAUUGGGAAGAACACCUGAGGCGAAGGCGGGUUGCUGGGCCGACACUGACGCUGGAUGCGCGAAAGCCAGGGGAGCGAACGGG